AGGGAAGCUUUUGAAAUGAACAAGCUUAUACUUCUGGGUGUUGUCCUAGGUCUGCUUUCAAUGGCCUUGGCUCAUAAUGUGCCGUACCCGCCGCCAAAGGACACUGGCAAGCAUGGUGGAUCGGGCGG